GAUGGCUCCGCGCCGAUAGGGAGUGUGAUACUGAAGGACCGGUCGGUGAUCGGCAUUACUUGGCGUAACGGUGUGGGAGGCGGUUUGUGAAGCGAGAUGUGAAAUCCCUGGGCUCAACCUAGGAAUAGCAGUUCGAACUGGCGAACUAGAGUCUUGUAGAUGGGGGUAGAAUUCCAGGUGUAGCGGUGAAAUGCGUAGAUAUAGGAAGGAACACCAGUGGCGAAGGCGACCACCUGGACUGAUACUGACACUGAGGUGCGAAAGCGUGGGGAGCAAACAGGAUUAGAUACCCGAGUAGUC
rnacentral:rRNA from 1 species